AAUUCUUUCACCAAUUGGGCGAAAGCCUUGAUGGAGGCAACGCCGCGUGUGUGAUGACGGCUUUCGGGUCGUAAAGCACUGUUGUAUGGGAAGAACAGCUAGAAUAGGGAAUGAUUUUAGUUUGACGGUACCAUACCAGAAAGGGACGGCUAAAUACGUGCCAGCAGCCGCGGUAAUACGUAUGUCCCGAGCGUUAUCCGGAUUUAUUGGGCGUAAAGCGAGCGCAGACGGUUGAUUAAGUCUGAUGUGAAAGCCCGGAGCUCAACUCCGGAAUGGCAUUGGAAACUGGUUAACUUGAGUGCAGUAGAGGUAAGUGGAACUCCAUGUGUAGCGGUGGAAUGCGUAGAUAUAUGGAAGAACACCAGUGGCGAAGGCGGCUUACUGGACUGUAACUGACGUUGAGGCUCGAAAGUGUGGGUAGCAAACAGGAUUAGAUACCCUGGUAGUCCACACCGUAAACGAUGAACACUAGGUGUUAGGAGGUUUCCGCCUCUUAGUGCCGAAGCUAACGCAUUAAGUGUUCCGCCUGGGGAGUACGACCGCAAGGUUGAAACUCAAAGGAAUUGACGGGGACCCGCACAAGCGGUGGAGCAUGUGGUUUAAUUCGAAGCAACGCGAAGAACCUUACCAGGUCUUGACAUCCUUUGAAGCUUUUAGAGAUAGAAGUGUUCUCUUCGGAGACAAAGUGACAGGUGGUGCAUGGUCGUCGUCAGCUCGUGUCGUGAGAUGUUGGGUUAAGUCCCGCAACGAGCGCAACCCUUAUUGUUAGUUGCCAGCAUUCAGAUGGGCACUCUAGCGAGACUGCCGGUGACAAACCGGAGGAAGGCGGGGACGACGUCAGAUCAUCAUGCCCCUUAUGACCUGGGCUACACACGUGCUACAAUGGCGUAUACAACGAGUUGCCAACCCGCGAGGGUGAGCUAAUCUCUUAAAGUACGUCUCAGUUCGGAUUGUAGUCUGCAACUCGACUACAUGAAGUCGGAAUCGCUAGUAAUCGCGGAUCAGCACGCCGCGGUGAAUACGUUCCCGGGUCUUGUACACACCGCCCGUCACACCAUGGGAGUUUGUAAUGCCCAAAGCCGGUGGCCUAACCUCUAGGAAGGAGCCGUCUAAGUCAGAUAUGCCAC
rnacentral:rRNA from 1 species